AAAUUUAUUUAGGAUGUUGAGAGGUUUGAAAUUUAAUUUCAGUUCUAUCAUGCUUUUGGUAAUUUUCACGCCUGGCAAUCAUUUCAUCCUGUGAUUUAGAGAGUGCGGAUGCAUAGACGUUUUUAUGAAAGUCCGUUGGAUCCCACAUAUCCUUAGAUAUCAUAGUUCCUCUUGGCUCCUUAAUAUCCAGAAAAUCCUGCAAAUUAUCAAGUAACUUUGGGUUUCUGAAAUUUUCAUUUUCUGAUAGUCUCGUAUGAAAAUGAAUGCCCUUUGCCUUUAAUUUUAUAAAUUGCUUUAUCUUUUUCUCCAGCUCUGUGUCAACUUCAGCUUUAGGAGAAUUUGGGAUUUUCCAAUGGGGUUCCUCAGAACGUCCUUUAAUAUCAUUGUUUUCAUUUACUAACGAAGUUUGUUCCUCUUCCUCUGAGUCGUAGGCUACCAAAGACAUAACUCUUAAAACUCAAAGCAUUUAAAGUAGAUAGAUAGUGUACGGUAGAAGCAAAUUAAGUAUUGUGCAACCAUAGUGGUUGCAAAAUAUAUAGGUUUGCUAUUAUCAUCCAAAAGAUGCAGACUUUUUAAUUUCCUUAAUUAAAACCUAGGAAAGGUAAUUUAUAAAUGCAUCUACUGGUUGUUUGUUAACAAGUGUAAAAACCUAUAGUUGGACUAGGAGUACAUUGCUCGUUCAUUUUGAGGUACAAAUCACUUUUUAAUUACCAUAUGAUAAAUCCGUUUUU